rnacentral:lncRNA from 1 species
UAAUACUAAGUGUCAAUUUGAUUGGAUUGAGGGACACCAUGUAUUAAUCCCGGAUGUGUCUUUGUGGGUAUAGCCAAAAGAGAUUAACAUUUGAGUCAAGGGAAGGCAAAUUCACCCUUAAUCUGGUGGGCACAAUCUAAUCAGCUUCCAGCAAAUAUAAAGCAGGCAGAAAAACGUGAAAAAAGGAAGAUGGGCCUAGCCUCUCAGCCCACAUCUUUCUCCUAUGCUGGAUGCUUCCUUCCCUUGAACAUCAGACUCUGGGUUCUUCAGUUUGGGAACUCAGACUGGCUCUCAGCUUGCAGACAGCCUAUUGUGGAACCUUGUGAUCAUGAUCUAUUUGGAGGUACUAAGAAAAAUAAGACAUCAGUCUGAAAAUAGCUCCUAUCAAAACAACAUAAAUUCUGCUAAAAGGGAAGCAAGAAGAAACAUCAAAUUUAUAGUGAAGCUUGGGUGGUAGAAUGAUGAAAUCAUUGAUGCUCUAUGAAAAGUUUAUAGGGACAAUGGCCCCAAAGAAAUCAGCAAUUUACAAAUGGAUAACUCUUUUUAAGAAGGGACUAGAUAAAUGUUGAAAACAAAGCCUGAAGCAGCAGACCAUCCAUGUUAAUUUGCAAGGAAAAAAUUAAUCUUGUUCAUUCCCUAAAUAAAGAGGACUGAUAAUUGACAGCAAAAACAAUAGCCAACACCAUAGCCAACUCAAUGGUUCAACUUACACAAUUCUGACUGAAAAGUUAAAGUUGAGCAUUUCCACUCAAUAGGCACAAAAACUUACGUGUCCAGAUCAGCUGCAGACAAGAGCAGAGCUUUCAGUGGAAAUCUCAAACAAGUAGGAAUGAGAUCCUAAAGCAUUUCUUCGAAAAGUUGCAACAGAAGGUGAAACAUGGCUUUACCAGUACCAUCCUGAAGACAAAGCACAAUCAAAGCAAUGGCUACCAAGAGGGGCAAGUGGUCCAGUCAAAGUAAAAGCAGACUGGUCAAGAGCAAAGGUCAUGGCAACAGUUUUUUGGAAUGCUCAAGGCGUUUUUCUUGUUGACUUUCUGGAAGGCCAAAGAAUGACGACAUCUGCUUAUUAUGAGAGUGUUUUGAGAAAGUUAGCCAAUGCUUUAGCAGAAAAAUGCCCAGGAAAGAUUCACUAGAGAGCCCUUCCCCACCAUGACAAUGCUCCUGCUCAUUUCUCUCAUCAAACAAAGGCAAUCUUAAGUUCCUAUGGGAAAUCAUUAGGCAUCCACCUUACCAUCCUGCUUUGGCUCCUUCUGACUUGCUUUUGUUUCCUAAUCUUAAAAGAUAUAUAAAGGGCACUCAUUUUUCUUCAAUUAAUAAUGUGAAAAAGAUUACAUCAGCAUGGUUAAAUUCUCUGGACCCUCAGUUCUUUAAGGAUAGACAAAAUGACUGGU